rnacentral:rRNA from 1 species
CUGAUGGAGCGACACCGCGUGAAGGAUGAAGUUCUAACGACUGUAAACUUCUUUUGUGUAGGAGCAUAAUGAGUACUACACGAAUAAGCACCGGCUAAUCUCGUGCCAGCAGCCGCGGUAAUA